rnacentral:rRNA from 1 species
UACGUAGGGGGCAAGCGUUGUCCGGAAUCAUUGGGCGUAAAGAGCGUGUAGGCGGCCCGGUAAGUCUGUUGUGAAAGUCCAGGGCUCAACCCUGGAAAGCCGAUGGAUACUGCCGGGCUAGAGUUCGGAAGAGGCGAGUGGAAUUCCUGGUGUAGCGGUGAAAUGCGCAGAUAUCAGGAGGAACACCAAUGGCGAAGGCAGCUCGCUGGGACGUGACUGACGCUGAGACGCGAAAGCGUGGGGAGCAAACAGG